UGAAUAUUUCAAUGUGUCUUCCAGAUGUGCCUUGUGUGUGAUUUUCCUGGCCGGAAUGGAUGACGCAGCCCCUCCAGUCAUCUUUUUCACACUCGAAGGGGACGCCGACACAAGUUCGAGUGGGGGCUGGUGUGGGGGGGUGGUGGCUGGAUGCAAAGCAGCGGCGUAAGAGCGAGCGGUUUUCACCGCCGUCUUCAUGGAACGUGCGCAACUCCCGUCAGCGUAGGCUGCUUGUUUUUCUUUUUCUUUUUUUCCUUUCUUUUAAUAGUCACAACUUCCCCCUUUCUUGGAGACGACUCGCUGGUAACCCAAAUUGGCCCCGCGCUUGCACGACUUUGCGGUUUGCGCGUAGCCAAAUGUUACAACUGUCACGCUGUGCUUCUUAAAGGGACCCGAUUUUUCGAGGGUUGGUGGCUGGCACACUUCUUCACACGAUUGCCCCGCUAAGAUUAAUUUCAUGAGCGCGUGUGUUGCGCCCGGAGACUGAAACCAAGUCAUUUUAGAAGUAAUGCAAAUGACUGUAUCGUCGUGUCAAAAAUGAUCGGUAAUUUACGAUCACAGUUUGCUUGUUGCCUUCGGGGCUCACCCGAACUGACAGUUUUGCGCGCAGCCCGACUCACCGAUUGUUCAACACGUCCAUAAAUGUUUCGGAGUCUCGAAAAUGUGUCACCAAGCGUCGCCUUCAGGGAACGUCUGACUUCAGUUUUCAAAUGCGAUUGUUCCAAAUGUUAUUACUUGUUUAAUUGGAGGAUUUAUUCAAUCAAAUGAUGAUAACAAUGUC